UGGGGAAUUUUGGACAACGGACGCAAGUCUGAUCCAGCCAUGCCGCGUGCGGGAAGAAGGCCUUCGGGUUGUAAACCGCUUUUGUCAGGGAAGAAACGAGUUUCUCUAAUACAGAGACUUAAUGACGGUACCUGAAGAAUAAGCACCGGCUAACUACGUGCCAGCAGCCGCGGUAAUACGUAGGGUGCAAGCGUUAAUCGGAAUUACUGGGCGUAAAGCGUGCGCAGGCGGUUAUAUAAGACAGAUGUGAAAUCCCCGGGCUCAACCUGGGAACUGCCUUUGUGACUGCAUAGCUAGAGUACGGUAGAGGGGGAUGGAAUUCCGCGUGUAGCAGUGAAAUGCGUAGAUAUGCGGAGGAACACCGAUGGCGAAGGCAAUCCCCUGGACCUGUACUGACGCUCAUGCACGAAAGCGUGGGGAGCAAACA
rnacentral:rRNA from 1 species